UUUCCGUAGGUGAACCUGCGGAAGGAUCAUUAUCGUACAAUGGGGGUUAGAGGGCUUUCGCUUACCCUUCGAAAGGUCGUGCACGCUCGAGUACUCUCAUAAAUCCAUCUCACCCAUUUAUACAUCACCGCGUGGGUUCUCUUUGCAGGAGGGCCCACGUUUUAACACAAGACUUGAUACAGUGUAGAAUGUUAUAUUUGCGGUCACACGAAAUCAAUACAACUUUCAACAACGGAUCUCUUGGCUCUC
rnacentral:misc_RNA from 1 species